CGCUGAGCGGCUUCCGUCGCCGGGCACAGCUCCUCGUCGCUUCUGUUUCUCCCUUUUCAGCUCCCUUGGUUUCCUUCGCGCGUGUGUGAUUACAUACUACGUGGGAGACUGGUAUAGUCCUGCCGCUGGCACGCACUGGUCGGGGGUGGCGGGUCCGGGCGUGUGGCUGCGCCCGUGCCACCUGUGCUGCCCCUGGUGCUUUUCCUCAUGACCUCCUCGGCCUCAGCCUCCUCCUUGACAGAUGCCCAGCUGAGCCCAUGCACCCAGCCCUUGCUGCCCAGUGGUCUCACCUGGGGAUCUUUAAGUACUCCUGAAGCCUGACUUUGGUUGUCGUUGGUGUGACCUGGGCAUUGGGAGUUUCCGAAGUCUCUGGACAGCAAAGUCUGGGAUCAGUGAUUGGCAGCGCUCCCAGUGAGCCGCAGUGGAUACGACCUUGGAAGCUGGGCUGCAGUCCUUAUUCUGUCCGCUGCCGUUAAGCAGCUGUUGAGGAGUGGGUUCUCCACUGCUGAGUGUUAGACCCCUACCAGUGGUCGGCCGGUCUGGGCCAGAGAACCCGGCAUCAGGAUUUAAACGUCUCCAGGUGAUUCCAGCACACAGCGGAGUUUGGGAAUCACAAUUUAGGAAGAAACGGAGUAAUGCCGAGUCCUUACCUGUGAGACCGAUGGCACUGGAGCCUGCAGUCUGGGACUGACAUGAAGCUUUUCCCUCACUUGCCCUCGGGUGUGCCGCCAUUGCCCGUGACCUCUCGGUGUUGCCUGGGUUCUGGCAGCUCUGGUACAGGGCGAUGUUUUCCUCCUGCCCCAGAAACACUGAAAGAGGAAGUCUGGGUGCCAGGUCACCACACCUCCUCAUCCUGUGUUGGCCUCAUGGUUGCUACCUCGUGAAGUGUGGUUGGCAGAACCAAGGUGCCGCUGAAGUCCAUGAGCUGAUGCAGGUGACUAGUGAGGCGAGGCGGGGCUUUCCGUGGUUUCUGUUUAUAGUGCAGUAGUGUAUUGUGGGUAUGCAUGUUCCUAAGAGACCGGAGAUAGGAGGGAGACACUUGCGCCCUGUCAGUGGAGCCAAGGCGUCCUGUGAGGCUUCCCAGCAGCCCCGGGGAUCUCUGAAGGGAGCACCUCUCAAGUCUGGGUACAGGCACGGUCGGAGGCGGAGCCAGCCCAGGGUCUGAGUUCAUGGGCUCAGUAAGCAGUUUCUGAGUAGCAGCAGCCAAGGCAAGCAGCGAGCUCUCCCGCUUCGGGUAGAGGGCAGUCCCUGCUUGCAGUGUUUCCCAGUGGGGAGAUGAGCUGAGCCCCUCAGUAAAGGAAGCCUAAGACCGAGUUUGGUGGAGUGCCCAGGAACCGUGUCUUAGUCGCGUGGGCUGCUGCAUGGCAUCCACUAACCUGGGGGUGUAUGAACAACACAUGUUUGUUCCUCACUGUUCUGGAGAGUGGAGAUUCUGCAUCAGCACCCCAGCAGACUUGAUACCUGGCGAGAGUGCUCCUCUUGUGCGGGGCCUUCCUGCUGCUGCUCACGUGCAAGAAGGGGCACAGAAGCUCGUGAGGGUCCCUUACCAGGGCACUACCCUGUUCCUCAGUGUACCACCCUCAGGACCUCACCUCCUGGUACCAUCACAGUGUGAGUUAGGGUUUCAGCACGGGGACUGGGGAGGUGUAGCAAACUUUGUAGCUCAGCCUCGUGAGGUACCCAGGACUGCCAUUAGUCACAGAUGCCUGCCUUGAUCAGCUAACGGUUAAAGCCAGGGUUGGGCCAAGGUGACCGUUCUCACGCUGCACUUGCCAAUGAUAGGCUCCGGAGAGUGACUUAGUCACCAGAAAGGCCGUGGAGGCCGGCAGGGCUGCAGGCAGCAGGUGCAGGUGCAGGUGCAGAAGCAGUGUGUGAGAGAGGGGGACAGUGAGGGGCUGAGACAGCAGGAGCAGGUGCAGGAGCAGGUGUGAGAGAGAGAGGGGACAGUGAGGGGCUGACAGCAGGUGCAGGAGCAGGUGUGAGAGAGAGAGAGGGGACAGUGAGGGGCUGAGACAGCAGGUGCAGAAGCAGGUGUGAGAGAGAGAGGGGACAGUGAGGGGCUGAGACAGCAGGUGCAGGUGCAGGUGUGAGAGAGAGAGGGGACAGUGAGGGGCUGAGACAGCAGGUGCAGGUGCAGGAGCAGGUGUGAGAGAGAGAGGGGACAGUGAGGGGCUGAGACAGCAGGUGCAGGUGCAGGAGCAGGUGUGAGAGAGAGAGGGGACAGUGAGGGGCUGAGACAGCAGGUGCGGGAGUGAGAGAGAGAGGGGAACGGUGCUGAGUUUACGUUCACUCACGGAGUUAGAGACAUGUCCAGGAAGGCACUCGGAUCCCAGAGGGCAUUUGAGGGAGGAGACGCUGGGGGUGUUUGGCAUCAGAGACCCACGUUCUAGUGAAACUUGUGAGAAUCAUUCCAUUAGUCAUGUCUAGAUCUAAAAAUGCUGGGUUUGAAACAAUUUUUGUGAAAAUAUACGGAGAUUAUUUUAUUGUUU